GUCAUUGAGCAGUUCAAGCUAUAUUUUGGACUUUUAAUACAUUUCAAUUUUAAAGAUGUGACAAAAAUGGGGAAACAUGAAAUCAUUAAGAAAGUAAUUGUUUCCUACAUAACGGGGGAUAACUAAUACAUCAACUUUGAUGUAUUAGUCUUUCAAAUAUAAGUCUUUCAAACAGAUUAAAAAGAAAGGCAGCGAAAUAUAUUUUUUCUUUUUAUAAGAUUACAUGAAUAAGAACAUAUGUAAGAUUUUUUUAACUGGAAGGAUUUCAAAUCAUUAAUAUUUAUGAGAUACAAUGUCACAUAUUUUUUUCCAUUUAAAAAAAAAUUGUUCUCACAAUAAACAUUUACAAUAUU
rnacentral:misc_RNA from 1 species